GAUGAACGCUGGCGGCGUGCCUAAUACAUGCAAGUCGAGCGAACGGACGAGAAGCUUGCUUUUCUGAUGUUAGCGGCGGACGGGUGAGUAACACGUGGAUAACCUACCUAUAAGACUGGGAUAACUUCGGGAAACCGGAGCUAAUACCGGAUAAUAUUUUGAACCGCAUGGUUCAAAAGUGAAAGACGGUCUUGCUGUCACUUAUAGAUGGAUCCGCGCUGCAUUAGCUAGUUGGUAAGGUAACGGCUUACCAAGGCAACGAUGCAUAGCCGACCUGAGAGGCUGAUCGGCCACACUGGAACUGAGACACGGUCCAGACUCCUACGGGAGGCAGCAGUAGGGAAUCUUACGCAAUGGGCGAAAGCCUGACGGAGCAACGCCGCGUGAGUGAUGAAGGUCUUCGGAUCGUAAAACUCUGUUAUUAGGGAAGAACAUAUGUGUAAGUAACUGUGCACAUCUUGACGGUACCUAAUCAGAAAGCCACGGCUAACUACGUG
rnacentral:rRNA from 1 species